GAAUUAGCCAGCCUGUAAGAGCCAGCAUGUUGCUUUAGCGUCGUGCACAAUGCAUACAGUAUAUACACAGCGCACAGCGACACCCGAGGCCACAGGAGGAAGGACAGGGGUAGCCUGAAUGACGCACAGUGGCACAUGGAACCUGCUGGAACGUUGCUAAUGGACCAGUACAUAAAGUUGGCCAUGAUCACUAAGAGGACAUUACGAGAUGACUGAGGAAAAUAAGUUUAUGGAUCUCUGGCCCCACAAUUCCAUUUACCAUCUACAAAUCCUACAUUAGCAGGUAUCACUUGUGGUCUAAUGGUGUCAGCAUGCUUGGAACCUGACUUUGACAACGUUACUCCAGUUACCCCGCGCUAGUCUGAUCCUGCACCAUCAUGAUGUCGGCACUCCACCAACUGCCUGGGACUGACCUGCUCUCCCACAGUGUGUCCUGUGCUCCUGCUGAUCACCUCACCUACCUGCCUGAGAACUACCAAUCGGACCCCUCCUGAAGCAGUCACCAGUGAACCGGUUCUUACGGCACCCAUGCAUGUUUGAGCUCUGCAUUCCCUGGCAUCACCUCCGGGGUGCUUGGACCAUAGCUGUGAGAAAAGCCCUCUCGUCACUUCGGCCUUCAACCAG